CAUCUUGACCAUGUGACGAGGCCUGUUUUGAUUUCCAUCUUCUUUUUGUCAUCGUAUCCCCCUUUUGCAAUGCUGAUGUGAAACAAUGAGAAGGUGAUGGAAAUCAAGACAGGGCUCGUCACGUUAA
rnacentral:miRNA from 1 species